rnacentral:rRNA from 1 species
UACGUAGGGUACGAGCGUUAAUCGGAUUUACUGGGCGUAAAGCGUGCGCAGGCGGCCCGUUAAGACAGGUGUGAAAUCCCUGGGCUCAACCUAGGAAUUGCGCUUGUGACUGGCGGGCUCGAGUACGGUAGAGGGGGGUGGAAUUCCUGGUGUAGCAGUGAAAUGCGUAGAGAUCAGGAGGAACACCGAUGGCGAAGGCAGCCCCCUGGGCCUGUACUGACGCUCAUGCACGAAAGCGUGGGGAGCAAACAGG